AUUGAACGCUGGCGGCAGGCCUAACACAUGCAAGUCGAGCGAGAAAGCCCUUCGGGGUGAGUACAGCGGCGGACGGGUGAGUAACGCGUAGGAAUCUACCCAGUAGUGGGGGACAACUUGGGGAAACCCAAGCUAAUACCGCAUACGCCCUACGGGGGAAAGCGGGGGACCUUCGGGCCUCGUGCUAUUGGAUGAGCCUGCGUCGGAUUAGCUAGUUGGUGGGGUAAAAGCUCACCAAGGCGACGAUCCGUAGCUGGUCUGAGAGGAUGAUCAGCCACACUGGAACUGAGACACGGUCCAGACUCCUACGGGAGGCAGCAGUGGGGAAUAUUGCGCAAUGGGCGAAAGCCUGACGCAGCCAUGCCGCGUGUGUGAAGAAGGCCCUAGGGUUGUAAAGCACUUUCAAUUGGGAAGAAAAGCUGUACGUUAAUAACGUGCAGCCCUGACAUUACCUUUAGAAGAAGCACCGGCUAACUCCG
rnacentral:rRNA from 1 species